AUGAAAGGCAUUCAUACGACACAAAUGCAUGUACAGUGUUGUCAUGGAAUCGUCUUUGCGAUAUUGAAACAAGUUUUUCAGUUCACCAACUCGAAAAGCGUAUUCCUGCGGCACCUCAAUAACAACAUCCAAGUCAAAUUCUCCUGCGCAUACAUCAUGGGAGGGAAUAAGCUGCAAGAUGCAUGUACAUUUCAGAACUUCUUCACAAACGGCGUCGUUUAUCAGCAAAGUUUGAAAACUUUCGACAUUCAUCAAUCUAACAAAGGUCUUGCAUAACAUCUCGCUGUGAAAAAAGUAAAAGACCACAUUUUUAAGAAAUACUUUUAAUCUUGUGCCAUUGUGGGUAGAGUGCCAAAGAAUGAUGAUUGGUUGGGAUGAAAGUACAAGGAAAACCGGCUUUUUAAGCGAAGGCCCUUUGGGCUUUGGCGCGAAGUUAUAUUUAUAAUUAUACAGCGUAGAGCUUGCACGUAAAUGGCAGACAAGUAUACCUUCCAAGUAUACCUUCCAAGCGUCUUAUAUGAUUCGGACUAGGAAUCCAAUCAUCCUACCUAAUUAACAGUCUAUAUUUUUCUUAAAGCUAUGCAAGAUCCACGUUUUUAUUCUUAGCAUUGGCAACGUUUUACUACACUUUCCCCCAAUUUCUUAUAUCUAAGCUGACUGGCAGUGCUUUCUGUAAUGAUGAAUAUAAAAUAUUCUAAAAUAUUCUGAAAGUAUACUCAAAAAACGGAUCGACGUAGACGUGAAAAAUGGUGCACUUUUUCUACUUGAAUACAUUAAUAUAGAAAGCUUUCAGCGCAGUUGAAAAGCUUUUUCGUGAAUUCAAAGUAAUAUAUAUAUACAUGGCGUUUUUUAGAAAUCCUGAUGGAUUUCCUAGUAUAUGUACGAUGUUUAAUAUUAAGUUCAGUCGCAAAGCACUGCAUGGGGGCAACUCAAUCAUUUAUAACUAUACAG